UACGUAGGGCGCAAGCGUUGUCCGGAAUUAUUGGGCGUAAAGAGCUCGUAGGUGGUUUGUCGCGUCUGUCGUGAAAGCCCCGGGGCUUAACUCCGGGUCUGCGGUGGAUACGGGCAGACUAGAGGCAGGUAGGGGGAGAACGGAAUUCCUGGUGUAGCGGUGAAAUGCGCAGAUAUCAGGAGGAACACCGAUGGCGAAGGCAGGUCUCUGGGCCACUACUGACGCUGAGAAGCGAAAGCGUGGGGAGCGAACAGG
rnacentral:rRNA from 1 species